AACUUUUAACAAUGGAUCUCUUGGUUCCGGCAUCGAUGAAGAACGCAGCGAAAUGCGAUACGUAGUGUGAAUUGCAGAAUUUAGUGAAUCAUCGAAUCUUUGAACGCACAUUGCGCCCCCUAGUACUCUAGGGGGCAUGCCUGUUCGAGCGUCAUUUCGACCCUCAAGUCUAGUCACUUGGUGUUGGGGCCCGCCUGGCGCUGGCCCCCGAAUUCAUUGGCGGGGCCGGUCGGCAGCCUGAGCGUAGUAAACACGACCUCGCUCCGGACGCCCCCGGCUCCCCGCCGUAAAGCCCAACAAAGUUUGACCUCGGAUCAGGUAGGGAUACCCGCUGAACUUAAGCAUAUCAAUAAGCGGAGGCU
rnacentral:misc_RNA from 1 species